GUAGGUGGCAAGCGUUGUCCGGGAUUAUUGGGCGUAAAGCGCGCGCAGGGCGGCCCUUUAAGUCUGAUGUGAAAGCCCACGGCUCAACCGUGGAGGGUCAUUGGAAACUGGGGGACUUGAGUACAGAAGAGGAAAGCGGAAUUCCAAGUGUAGCGGUGAAAUGCGUAGAGAUUUGGAGGAACACCAGUGGCGAAGGCGGCUUUCUGGUCUGUAACUGACGCUGAGGCGCGAAAGCGUGGGGAGCAAACAGGAUUAGAUACCCUGGUAGUCCACGCCGUAAACGAUGAGUGCUAAGUGUUAGGGGGUUUCCGCCCCUUAGUGCUGCAGCUAACGCAUUAAGCACUCCGCCUGGGGAGUACGGCCGCAAGGCUG
rnacentral:rRNA from 1 species